rnacentral:snRNA from 1 species
AAAUCUUUAAACGUAUAAUAAAUUGAAAUAAGAUCAAGUGUAGUAUCUGUUCUUAUCAGCUUAAUAUCUGAUAUGUUAGGCAAUGCCUAACUCAUAUAUUAAACUGAUUUUUGGCCUUCGGCCCUGGGAUUGAAGCUUGCUUCGCCCUGGCCACGGGUUGUCUCGGUAUUGCACUACAUCCGAGUACGGCCCUCUUCCC